rnacentral:tRNA from 1 species
GCGCUUAUACCUCAGCUGGAUAGAGGGUCCGCCUCCUAAGCGGAACGCCGCGCGUUCGAAUCGCGCUAAGCGCGCCA